CCCAGUAGGAAUACGAUCUUGUUGGGGGUAAAGAAUUUCAGGAACACGUUGUCCGCUUUAAAAACGAAACCAACAGGACGAAAACGAACCGUGAGAACGCCUGAAAAACGCCUGAGUAGCUGUUACACGGUCUCCACGA